rnacentral:lncRNA from 1 species
AAAAUAAUAGAUUUAUGUUACUUGUAGUUAAAUUUUAGCAAUUUAUCAGACUUUUUAAGGCAUUUAUGAUGAAUAUUUGCUUGUUUCUUGGGAAAAUAUGACAAAAAUACUCCUAAUUGUUUAAAUAUUCAAUGCAUAGGUAAAAAUAUAAAAAAAGAGGAAAAAUGUUGUCUUUGAGGCAUUUUGGUGCAAAAAUCACCAUUUGGGCGAACCUAGUAUGAAGCUUGUUCAACUGCCGCUUUUGGGAGAAUUUUUUUAACUUAUUUUCAUUACUUCCUUUACAUGUUUGAUCUUAAUUCAAGGGACUGUGUUUAUGUUUAUAAAGAUUUAGAAACAACUCUUUGAGUCGAGAUCUAUCUCCGCUUGAUCGUUGACUGACUUCUCUUCAUCACGAGACUGAUCAGAUCUGCUACCCCCGCUGCUCUAACUGCUGCUUUCAUUAGUGACUUCAUCAUCCCAGACUCUGCACUUUGAUCGGGAAUACUUUUUAAAAUAAAUGCAAUUUCUGCCCAAACGAGGUAAGGUACAUUCAUCCGCUGGCGCACCUCUCCUAACCAUCUUUCUAGCUUUUGGUCAAUGAUCACCCCUUCUGUGUACCACUAGUGCCUGGAUUACAGGUAAUUUUGGUCGCUGAUCCAGCAAUGGCUCUAAACUAUCUUGCCCUUCUUUAUUUAAGAAAUUCUUUCAAUUCAAAGAGGGCAUUCGAGAACAGUAACAUCGGUAAUCAAGUCAAAAAGUCGACGCAGGAUCGGUAAAGCAGUCCCAGAACCUAUGAUUGCAAACGAAGACUUCCUUCUUAUGUCCAUUGGCUUUACAAAGGGAAAAAAAGGUAAACUAAGUCCCUGACUAUGAUUUACAUCUACUAGAGAGAAUCCAAAACAUCUAGAGCAGGACCUAUUCUUUUAAGGAUAAGAGGGGAUUUGAGUUUAAUAGCAGUUCCUUCCUAGAUUGAAAAGCUUAAGCAAGAAAUUACCCCAUACAUAUAGAGUCUCCUAUAGCCUUGACUCUGG